UGCGUAGGGGGCAAGCGUUGUCCGGAUUUAUUGGGCGUAAAGAGCGUGUAGGCGGCCAGACAAGUCUGCUGUGAAAACUCGAGGCUCAACCUCGAGCUGUCGGUGGAAACUGUCUGGCUAGAGUCCGGAAGAGGAGAGUGGAAUUCCUGGUGUAGCGGUGAAAUGCGCAGAUAUCAGGAAGAACACCUAUGGCGAAGGCAGCUCUCUGGGACGGUACUGACGCUGAGACGCGAAAGCGUGGGGAGCGAACAGG
rnacentral:rRNA from 1 species